rnacentral:misc_RNA from 1 species
UUUUUCAGUUUAUCAAAUUGCUUUGAUUAGUGCUUCCAUACAGAAUACCAUCUAUGACAUCAUUAAACAUUUUGUUAUCAUUGUGUGUUCCUUGGAGAAAGCAUCUAUUUCUAACAAACCAUGUUGUGAUCCAUACAUAUCAGUGCUUGCAGAAUCCAAGAGGGUUAUAUCUAUAUCAUGCAGCUCCUCUGUUUAUUCAGUGUUUUCCUGUAGGUGCUUGUUUUCUAAGACUUUUAUAUCUUAGUUUUAAUCACAAGGUUGUAGAUUAUUAUCAAGCAAUAUAUAGACACUUUACAUUAGUUAGUGUAUGACUUUGUUAGAAGAUAUUUAAAUAAAGUGGGGUUUUCCAAU